AGCAUGCGGAUUAAUUCGAUGCAACGCGAAGAACCUUACCAAGGCUUGACAUAUAGAGGAAACCGUGCAGAAAUGUACGCCCCGCAAGGUCUCUAUACAGGUGGUGCAUGGUUGUCGUCAGCUCGUGUCGUGAGAUGUUGGGUUAAGUCCCGCAACGAGCGCAACCCUCGUCCUAUGUUGCCAGCACGUAAUGGUGGGAACUCAUGGGAGACUGCCGGGGUCAACUCGGAGGAAGGUGGGGAUGACGUCAAAUCAUCAUGCCCCUUAUGUCUUGGGCUUCACGCAUGCUACAAUGGCCAGUACAAAGGGCUGCAAUACCGUAAGGUGGAGCGAAUCCCAAAAAGCUGGUCUCAGUUCGGAUUGAGGUCUGCAACUCGACCUCAUGAAGUCGGAGUCGCUAGUAAUCGCAGAUCAGCAACGCUGCGGUGAAUACGUUCCCGGGCCUUGUACACACCGCCCGUCAAGUCACGAAAGUCGGUAACACCCGAAGCCGGUGGCCUAACCGCAAGGAAGGAGCCGUCGAAAGGUGGGAUUGGUGAUUGGGACCUAAGUCGUAACAAGGUACC
rnacentral:rRNA from 1 species